UCAGAGGACCACAGAGCGAUGUCGCUUGGAGAGCAUCUCUCGCGGAUUAAGAUCAUCCAUAAGACAGUCGCCCUUCACCCGAGGGGAAUGCUGAACAGGGCCAACUGGUGCUACAUCAAUUCUACGUUACAGUCUCUUCUAGCAUGCCCACCAUUCUAUCACCUGCUGAAGAGCCUGCCUAUAUUUCCUGCGUUGACUCGUGGACCAAGCUCCACACCAAUAAUUGACAGCUUGUAAGUAUAGCACCUAUCU